rnacentral:rRNA from 1 species
UACAGAGGAGCCAAGCGUUGUCCGGAUUGACUGGGCGUAAAGCGCACGCAGGCGGACGCGCGCGUGGGGUGUGAAAUCUGGCCGCUUAACGGCCAGGCGCCAUCCCAUACGGCGCGUCUGGAGUGAUGCAGAGGUCGAUGGAAUUGCCGGUGUAGUGGUGAAAUGCGUAGAGAUCGGCAGGAACACCCAGGGGGAAGCCAGGCGACUGGGCAUCUACUGACGCUGAGGUGCGAGAGCGUGGGGAGUGAACCGG